UACGGAGGGUGCGAGCGUUGUCCGGAAUCAUUGGGCGUAAAGGGCGCGUAGGUGGCCCGGUCAGUCCGUGGUGAAAGCGCGGGGCUCAACCCCGCGUCGGCCAUGGAUACUGCUGGGCUGGAGCACUGUAGAGGCAGGCGGAAUUCCGGGUGUAGCGGUGGAAUGCGUAGAGAUCCGGAAGAACACCGGUGGCGAAGGCGGCCUGACUGGGCA
rnacentral:rRNA from 1 species